rnacentral:rRNA from 1 species
GUGGGGAAUAUUGGACAAUGGGCGCAAGCCUGAUCCAGCCAUGCCGCGUGAGUGAUGAAGGCCUUAGGGUUGUAAAGCUCUUUCAGUGGGGACGAUAAUGACGGUACCCACAGAAGAAGCCCCGGCUAACUUCGUGCCAGCAGCCGCGGUAAUACGAAGGGGGCUAGCGUUGUUCGGAUUUACUGGGCGUAAAGCGCACGUAGGCGGAUCGUUAAGUCGGGGGUGAAAUCCUGGAGCGCAACUCCAGAACUGCCUUCGAUACUGGCGAUCUUGAGUCCGGAAGAGGUGAGUGGAACUCCUAGUGUAGAGGUGGAAUUCGUAGAUAUUAGGAAGAACACCAGUGGCGAAGGCGGCUCACUGGUCCGGUACUGACGCUGAGGUGCGAAAGCGUGGGGAGCAAACAGGAUUAGAAACCCUGGUAGUCC